rnacentral:tRNA from 1 species
GUGGCGGAAUGGCAGACGCGCUACUUUGAGGGGGUAGUGAUCGUAGAUCGUGUGAGUUCAAGUCUCACCAGCCGCA